GAUGAACGCUGGCGGCGUGCCUAAUACAUGCAAGUCGAGCGAACGGACGAGAAGCUUGCUUUUUUGUUGUUAGCGGCGGACGGGUGAGUAACACGUGGAUAACCUACCUAUAAGACUGGGAUAACUUCGGGAAACCGGAGCUAAUACCGGAUAAUAUUUUGAACCGUGUGGUUCAAUAGUGAAAGACGGUCUUGGUGGAUGUUAUAGAUGGAUAUCCGCUGUUUUAGCUGGUUGGUAAGGUAAAGGCUUACCAAGGGGACUAUGCGUAGGCGACGUGUGAGGGUGGUCGGCCGCAUGGGAAGGGGGACGCGCUCAAUGCUCCUGCGGGAGGCAGCAGUAGGGAACCUGCCGCAGUGGGCGAAAACCUGGCGGAGCGGCGCCGCGUGAGUUAUGGAGGUCUUCGGAUCGUAAAGCUCUGUUAUUAGGGAAGAACAUAUUUGUAAGUAACUGUGCACAGCUUGACGGUACCUAAUCAGAAAGCCACGGCUAACUACGUG
rnacentral:rRNA from 1 species